CCUACGGGUGGCAGCAGUAGGGAAUAUUGCUCAAUGGGGGAAACCCUGAAGCAGCAACGCCGCGUGGAGGAUGAAGGUUUUCGGAUUGUAAACUCCUUUUGUUAGAGAAGAUAAUGACGGUAUCUAACGAAUAAGCACCGGCUAACUCCGUGCCAGCAGCCGCGGUAAUACGGAGGGUGCAAGCGUUACUCGGAAUCACUGGGCGUAAAGAGGGCGUAGGCGGGAUAGCAAGUCAGAUGUGAAAUCCUAUGGAUUAACCAUAGAACUGCAUUUGAAACGGUUAUUCUAGAGUAUGGGAGAGGUAGGUGGAAUUCUUGGUGUAGGGGUAAAAUCCGUAGAGAUCAAGAGGAAUACUCAUUGCGAAGGCGACCUGCUAGAACAUAACUGACGCUGAUGCGCGAAAGCGUGGGGAGCAAACAGGAUUAGAUACCCCUGUAGUC
rnacentral:rRNA from 1 species